rnacentral:rRNA from 1 species
GACGAACGCUGGCGGCGUGCUUAACACAUGCAAGUCGAACGGAAAGGCCCUGCUUUUGUGGGGUGCUCGAGUGGCGAACGGGUGAGUAACACGUGAGUAACCUGCCCUUGACUUUGGGAUAACUUCAGGAAACUGGGGCUAAUACCGGAUAGGAGCUCCUGCUGCAUGGUGGGGGUUGGAAAGUUUCGGCGGUUGGGGAUGGACUCGCGGCUUAUCAGCUUGUUGGUGGGGUAGUGGCUUACCAAGGCUUUGACGGGUAGCCGGCCUGAGAGGGUGACCGGCCACAUUGGGACUGAGAUACGGCCCAGACUCCUACGGGAGGCAGCAGGGGAGAAUAUUGCACAAUGGGCGGAAGCCUGAUGCAGCAACGCCGCGUGCGGGAUGACGGCCUUCGGGUUGUAAACCGCUUUCGCCUGUGACGAAGCGUGAGUGACGGUAAUGGGUAAAGAAGCACCGGCUAACUACGUG